UUAAAUGGAAAGGAAAAGGAAAUUACUUGGGCAAACCCAUCGAUUCCUAUAGAACGAAUCAGCACCGUCCGUUCAUCUGCCCGGUGAUGGCGAACCACCCCCUCUCCGCCGGAAUCAGACGUUUUGUGUUCGGGACACGAAAUCUUUGUAGCACCGUUGCUUCACGCGCUUCGACGUUGCACGCGCCGUUCUUGCGCAAGCUCAAAUCCCCAAAGCAGAAUCCAUUGCUGGUGCUUCAAAAUUGGGUGGACGAAGGCAACGAUUUUUCACCCUCCCAGUUCAGAAGCAUCGCCAGAACCCUAGUCAAAUCGAAGCGCUACCACCACGCCCUUGAGUUAUUUAAGUGGAUAGAAAAUCAGAAGAAUUUCCGCAUGAUCCCAGUUGAUCAUGCUAUGAAAUUGGAGUUAAUCAUUGAAAAUUGUGGUUUAAUGGAAGCUGAAGAAUAUUUUAUGAAUCUACCUGACUCGGCUGCAAAGAAGGCGGCUUGUCUCACACUUCUCCGUGGAUAUGUAAGAUAUAGGGAUACUACUAAGGCCGAGGCUUUAAUGAUGAAGCUCUAUGAGUUGGGGCUAGUGGUGAGUCCUCACCCUUUUAAUGAGAUGAUGAAGCUGUAUCUAGUGACCUGCGACUACAGGAAGGUACCCCUUGUUAUCCAGCAAAUGAAGCGGAAUAAAAUACCCUGCAAUGUUCUCUCCUACAAUCUUUGGAUGAAUGCCUGUAGUGAGGAAGAAGGAUACGGGAUUGCAGCAGUAGAGACAGUUUUUAGACAAAUGCAAAAUGACAAGAACGUUGAAGUGGGAUGGAGUAGUCUUGCUACAUUGGCCAAUGUUUACAAGAAAGCAGGGCAACCUAAGAAAGCCAUUCCGGUUCUCAAAGAUGCUGAAAAGAAACUGUCUACCUGUAAGCACCUCGGAUACUUCUUCCUCAUAACACUAUAUGCUUCUUUGAAAGAUAAGGAGGGAGUCUUGCGGUUAUGGGAAGCUAGUAAGGCAGUUGAUGAAAGAAUCAGUUGUGCUAACUACAUUUGCAUACUAACAUGCUUGGUGAAGCUUGGGGAUGUUCUGCAAGCCGAGAGAGUCUUCUCAGAAUGGGAAUCUAAUUGUCAAAAGUAUGAUAUCAGAGUCUCUAAUGUUCUUUUGGGUGCAUAUGUGAGGGAUGGAUUAAUGGAAAAAGCUGAAUCAUUACAUCUCCACACAUUGCAAAAGGGUGGCUGUCCAAACUAUAAGACAAUGGAAAUUCUUGUAGAAGGAUAUGUGAAUAGGAAAAAAGCAGACGAGGCUUUUAUUGCAAUGAAAAGAGCUUUGGCUAUGACAAAAAAUUGUCAUUGGAGGCCACCACAUGGACUUGUGUUGGCCAUUGCGGAGAUUUUGGAGAAAGAUGGGAAUCUUGAAUAUGCAAACAAUUAUAUUACAGAUAUCCAUAAUUUUGGUCUUGCUAGUUUACCAUUGUAUAAAAUAUUGCUAAGAAUGCACCUUUAUGCCAACAAACCACCUUUCCGUAUCCUUAAAAUGAUGGAUGAAGAUAAGAUUGAGAUGGAUGAUGAGACACAUUCCAUUGUUAAAGCUUUCGCUUUGCUGAAAAGUUUGGAGGUGAAGCAGUAACCAGGAAGUUGAUUUCAUUCUUGAUUUCACCAAUAAAGAUACAAGGCCAGUCAUGGUGUAGAUAUUUGUUUCUACCAUUCUGUUGAUCACUUUUUUUUCUUGAGUUUUCUGCCUGCAAUUUUUUUCUAUUUCUAUAUACAUGAAUAUUCGUUUUUUGUUUUUGAUGUUCAUGCAUGUAUUUAUGUUUUACACCUCAGCAUUAUUGUCCAGUUGAGGUACACAGCCAAAUGGAAUGCAUUCAAAGGUCAGAGGUAAUAGAAAACUAGAAAGAUUGGCAGAGCUUAGGCAUGAUUGCAGAACUCCAUCUGACUUUUGGUAGUUUUUGCUGAGCACAGUAUUUUGGGUAGUUGAAGGUCAAACUGCAAACGAGUAUUAGAAUUGACAAUUUUGGUCUUUCAAUUGUACAAAUUAUUGCUUAGGAUACACUUUGUUGAUGAUGAACUGGCCUUUCCAUCUUUAUAUUGUUUGAAAAGUGUUGUGAACCAUCUAACGACCUUUUAGCAUUUGACAGGGCUCAUUUAAUGGAGUAAUUCGUAUUUUAUGGAGCAUUUGACAGCCAACGGCAAUAUCAGCGAAGCCUAUUUUUGGACCUUCAAGGGUCUUUAGAUUCUCUCGUGCUUCUUGUGCUGCCUUCUGGUGUUCCUCCCCUCCUUUGGAAAAGGAGCAUGGCAUUCUUGUUACUCAGAGCCUGAGAGUAAAUGGACUACUCCAUAACCCUAAUAACGACACUGAUUCUUCUUCUAUCAUCAUUUUCCGAAUUAAAAUCCAAACACUUGCAGUUCUCUCAUUCUCGUGUCUAUAUAGGUAUUAUUUAGUUAUUUGUUAUAAAUAGAGCUGUUAAAACGGGUAAUCCGGUCCGACCCAGUUUGACCCAUCAUGGAUUGGUCACUUAGUGAGUCAAUUCAACUCGAUUCAUUUAUUAGCGAGUCAGAAAAACUUGAACCCGGUCCGACCAACCAUGGGCUGGUAGGUAAACGAGUUGACUCACUAGUCCAUUUAAUUACAUUUUUUCAAAGUAAAAAAAAAA